GACGAACGCUGGCGGCGUGCCUAAUACAUGCAAGUCGAACGCAGUGGGGACGGGUGAGUAACACGUGGGUAACCUCCCAUCAGAGGGGAUAACCCUUGGAAACAGGUGCUAAACCGAUACGGGUGGAUGUACACGCGGUGCAUUCGCUAGUUGGUGAGGUAACGGCUCACCAAGGCCACGAUGCAGAGCCGACCUGAGAGGGGGACCGGCCACACUGGGACUGAGACACGGUCCAGACUCCUACGGGAGGCAGCAGUAGGGAAUAUUCGGCAAUGGACGAAAGUCUGACCGAGCAACGCCGCGUGAGUGAAGAAGGCUUUCGGAUCGUAAAACGCUGUUGUUAGAGAAGCGGUAUCUAAACAGAAAGCAACGGCUAACUACGUGCCAGCAGCCGCGGUAAUUC
rnacentral:rRNA from 1 species